CGGGCAAUAUUGAACAAUGGGGGGUGGCGUGAGCCAGCCAUGGGGUUGGAGUCAUUUUGGCGUAAGGGUUGUAAAGCUCUUUUAUUCGUGAAGAUAAUGACGGUACCCGCAGAAGAAGCCCCGGCUAACUUUGUGCCAGCAGCCGCGGUAAUAGGAAGGGGGCGAGUGUUGUUCGGAAUUACUGGGCGUAAAGCGCACGUAGGCGGAUAUUUAAGUCAGGGGUGAAAUCCCGGGGCUCAACCCCGGAACUGCCUUUGAUACUGGGUGUCUAGAGUAGGGGAGAGGGGAGUGGAAUUCCGAGUGUAGGGGUGAAAUUCGUAGAUAUUGGGAGGAACACCAGUGGCGAAGGCGGCUCUCUGGUCCGGUACUGACGGUGAGGUGAGAAAGCGUGGGGAGCAAACAAGAUUACAUACCCGUGUAGUCCACGCCCUAAACGAUGUAAG
rnacentral:rRNA from 1 species